UACGGGGGGGGCAAGCGUUGUUCGGAAUUCCUGGGCGUAAAGGGCUCGUAGGCGGCCAACUAAGUCAGACGUGAAAUCCCUCGGCUUAACCGGGGAACUGCGUCUGAUACUGGAUGGCUGGAGUUUGGGAGAGGGAUGCGGAAUUCCAGGUGUAGCGGUGAAAUGCGUAGAUAUCUGGAGGAACACCGGUGGCGAAGGCGGCAUCCUGGACCAAUACUGACGCUGAGGAGCGAAAGCCAGGGGAGCAAACGGG
rnacentral:rRNA from 1 species